CAGCAGUGGGGAAUAUUGCACAAUGGGCGCAAGCCUGAUGCAGCCAUGCCGCGUGUAUGAAGAAGGCCUUCGGGUUGUAAAGUACUUUCAGCAGUGAGGAAGGUGGGUAUGUUAAUAGCAUACUCAUUUGACGUUAGCUGCAGAAGAAGCACCGGCUAACUCCGUGCCAGCAGCCGCGGUAAUACGGAGGGUGCGAGCGUUAAUCGGAAUUACUGGGCGUAAAAGCGCAUGCAGGUGGUUUGUUAAGUCAGAUGUGAAAGCCCGGGGCUCAACCUCGGAAUUUGCAUUUGAAACUGGCAAACUAGAGUACUGUAGAGGGGGUAGAAUUUCAGGUGUAGCGGUGAAAUGCGUAGAGAUCUGAAGGAAUACCGGUGGCGAAGGCGGCCCCCUGGACAGAUACUGACACUCAGAUGCGAAAGCGUGGGGAGCAAACAGGAUUAGAUACCCUGGUAG
rnacentral:rRNA from 1 species